AGGACGUAUUUGUUGUGCAGGCGGAGCGUGUUGUUCCAGACCAGUCGUCUGAUGACUCUUCGUCUUUUUCUUCUGUGGAUUCUGAUCUGGAGAUCAGUUCGGAGGGCUCCUUUAUUCUCCAGCCUUUUUCUUCCACAGAUGAGUCUCCAGAGCCUUCUUCACCCACCUCUGGAAGGCAUGUCACCCCCCUCGUCCAUCACCCCUCC